UGAGGAAUAUUGGUCAAUGGGCGAGAGCCUGAACCAGCCAAGUAGCGUGAAGGAUGAAGGUCCUACGGAUUGUAAACUUCUUUUAUACGGGAAUAAAGUAUCCUACGUGUAGGAUUUUGUAUGUACCGUAUGAAUAAGCAUCGGCUAACUCCGUGCCAGCAGCCGCGGUAAUACGGAGGAUGCGAGCGUUAUCCGGAUUUAUUGGGUUUAAAGGGAGCGCAGACGGGAGAUUAAGUCAGUUGUGAAAGUUUGCGGCUCAACCGUAAAAUUGCAGUUGAUACUGGUUUCCUUGAGUGCAGUUGAGGCAGGCGGAAUUCGUGGUGUAGCGGUGAAAUGCUUAGAUAUCACGAAGAACCCCGAUUGCGAAGGCAGCUUGCUAAACUGUAACUGACGUUCAUGCUCGAAAGUGUGGGUAUCAAACAGGAUUAGAUACCCUGGUAGUCCACACGGUAAACGAUGGAUACUCGCUGUUGGCGAUAUACUGUCAGCGGCCAAGCGAAAGCAUUAAGUAUCCCACCUGGGGAGUACGCCGGCAACGGUGAAACUCAAAGGAAUUGACGGGGGCCCGCACAAGCGGAGGAACAUGUGGUUUAAUUCGAUGAUACGCGAGGAACCUUACCCGGGCUUAAAUUGCAGACGAAUUACGAGGAAACUUGUAAGCCGCAAGGCGUCUGUGAAGGUGCUGCAUGGUUGUCGUCAGCUCGUGCCGUGAGGUGUCGGCUUAAGUGCCAUAACGAGCGCAACCCUCGUGGUCAGUUACUAACAGGUUAAGCUGAGGACUCUGGCCAGACUGCCAUCGUAAGAUGUGAGGAAGGUGGGGAUGACGUCAAAUCAGCACGGCCCUUACGUCCGGGGCUACACACGUGUUACAAUGGGAGGUACAGAAGGCAGCUACCCGGCGACGGGAUGCCAAUCCCCAAAACCUCUCUCAGUUCGGACUGGAGUCUGCAACCCGACUCCACGAAGCUGGAUUCGCUAGUAAUCGCGCAUCAGCCACGGCGCGGUGAAUACGUUCCC
rnacentral:rRNA from 1 species